CAAGUUAUGGUCAUAACGACUCUUUACUUACACUAAUGAAAAUAUUGUUCAAACAAUAUAACUUGA
rnacentral:tRNA from 1 species